AAAUUGAAGAGUUUGAUCAUGGCUCAGAUUGAACGCUGGCGGCAGGCCUAACACAUGCAAGUCGAACGGUAGCACAGAGAGCUUGCUCUCGGGUGACGAGUGGCGGACGGGUGAGUAAUGUCUGGGAAACUGCCUGAUGGAGGGGGAUAACUACUGGAAACGGUGGCUAAUACCGCAUAACGUCGCAAGACCAAAGAGGGGGACCUUCGGGCCUCUUGCCAUCAGAUGUGCCCAGAUGGGAUUAGCUUGUUGGUGAGGUAACGGCUCACCAAGGCGACGAUCCCUAGCUGGUCUGAGAGGAUGACCAGCCACACUGGAACUGAGACACGGUUCAGACUCCUACGGGAGGCAGCAGUGGGGAAUAUUGCACAAUGGGCGCAAGCCUGAUGCAGCCAUGCCGCGUGUAUGAAGAAGGCCUUCGGGUUGUAAAGUACUUUCAGCGGGGAGGAAGGUGUUGUGGUUAAUAACC
rnacentral:rRNA from 1 species